AUUGAACGCUGGCGGCAGGCUUAACACAUGCAAGUCGAGCGGAGCGAGGGUGCUUGCACCUUAGCUUAGCGGCGGACGGGUGAGUAAUGCUUAGGAAUCUGCCUAUUAGUGGGGGACAACAUUCCGAAAGGAAUGCUAAUACCGCAUACGCCCUACGGGGGAAAGCAGGGAAGCUUCGGACCUUGCGCUAAUAGCUGAGCCUAAGUCGGAGUAGCUAGUUGGUGGGGUAAAGGCCUACCAAGGCGACGAUCUGUAGCGGGUCUGAGAGGAUGAUCCGCCACACUGGGACUGAGACACGGCCCAGACUCCUACGGGAGGCAGCAGUGGGGAAUAUUGGACAGUGGGCGGAAGCCUGAUCCAGCCAUGCCGCGUGUGUGAAGAAGGCCUUUUGGUUGUAAAGCACUUUAAGCGAGGAGGAGGCUACUUAGAUUAAUACUCUGGGAUAGUGGACGUUACUCGCAGAAUAAGCACCGGCUAACUCUGUGCCAGCCGCCGCUGUAA
rnacentral:rRNA from 1 species